GAUGAACGCUGGCGGCGUGCCUAAUACAUGCAAGUCGAGCGAACGGACGAGAAGCUUGCUUCUCUGAUGUUAGCGGCGGACGGGUGAGUAACACGUGGAUAACCUACCUAUAAGACUGGGAUAACUUCGGGAAACCGGAGCUAAUACCGGAUAAUAUUUUGAACCGCAUGGUUCAAAAGUGAAAGACGGUCUUGCUGUCACUUAUAGAUGGAUCCGCGCUGCAUUAGCUAGUUGGUAAGGUAACGGCUUACCAAGGCAACGAUGCAUAGCCGACCUGAGAGGGUGGGCGGCCACACUGGAACUGAGACACGGUCCAGACUCCUACGGGAGGCAGCAGUAGGGAAUCUUCCGCAAUGGGCGAAAGCCUGACGGAGCAACGCCGCGUGAGCGAUGAAGGCCUUCGGAUCGUAAAACUCUGUUAUUAGGGAAGAACAUAUGUGUAAGUAACUGUGCACAUCUUGACGGUACCUAAUCAGAAAGCCACGGCUAACUACGUG
rnacentral:rRNA from 1 species